GAUGAACGCUAGCGGGAGGCCUAACACAUGCAAGCCGAGCGGUAUUGUUCUUCGGAAAUGAGAGAGCGGCGUACGGGUGCGGAACACGUGUGCAACCUGCCUUUAUCUGGGGGAUAGCCUUUCGAAAGGAAGAUUAAUACUCCAUAAUAUAUUGAACGGCAUCGUUUAAUAUUGAAAGCUCCGGCGGAUAGAGAUGGGCACGCGCAAGAUUAGCUAGUUGGUGAGGUAACGGCUCACCAAGGCAAUGAUCUUUAGGGGGCCUGAGAGGGUGAUCCCCCACACUGGUACUGAGACACGGACCAGACUCCUACGGGAGGCAGCAGUGAGGAAUAUUGGUCAAUGGGUGCAAGCCUGAACCAGCCAUCCCGCGUGAAGGACGACUGCCCUAUGGGUUGUAAACUUCUUUUGUAUAGGGAUAAACCUUUCCACGUGUGGAAAGCUGAAGGUACUAUACGAAUAAGCACCGGCUAACUCCGUG
rnacentral:rRNA from 1 species